UGACCCAUUUUAGUUUCUGUGUGUAUAUGUGUGUGUGUAUGUGUGUGUGCACAUACAUAUAGGAAUACAAACAUACCAAAGAGGUCAAAGACAAAAAGAAAAAUCUUAUACAUGCCAAAAUGUUCAUAGCGGUAUUUUUUGUGGUGGCUCUGGGCAAGUCACUUAACCCUGUUCACCUAAGUUCCUCCUCUGAAAAACGAGUUGGGAAGGAAAUAGUAAACCAUUCUGGCAUCUUUUCCAAGAAAACCCCAAAAUGGAAUCACAAACAGUCAGAGACCACUGAAAAGACAACAAAUUUUGUUGUUGUUGUUGUGGAAAAGAUUUGAAAACAAAGUAAGCGCUCAAAUGAUUAUGACUGAUUAAACAAAUUGGGUAGGAUUCAUCUAAGGAAAGAGUAGUGAAACAAAAAGUGGAAAUUCCAGGAAGAAGUUGAUGCAUUUUCAAUGUUAAUAUGACUGAAAGAAUAGAAAAGAAUUGUAGUAAUCAGAACAGUGGAGUAUAUGGCUUUGAUCAAAGUGAAAAGUAGUUGCUAGAAAGCAAGUCAAUAUUAACUAAAUGCCUAAAAAUCACAUGGUACAAUGCUAGGCAUCAGGGAUUUUUAUUAUUGUUGUUCAGUCAUUUUGGUUGAAUUCCACUCUUCAUGACCCUAUUUGGGGAUUUUUUGGCAGAGAUUUUAGACUGGUUUGCCUUUUCUUUCCAACUCAUUUUACAAAUGAGAAAACUGAGACAAACAGGGUUAAGUGGCUUGCCCAAGGUCAUACAACUAGUAAGUGUCUAAAGUUAGAUCUGACCUCAGGAAAAAGAAAUCUUCCUGACUUCAGGCUCAGUACUCUAUAGACAGCAUCUCCUUACUCCCUUUAGUGGGAAAGCAAGAAAGAAAGCAAGACAGCAAGAAAGAAAGCAAGACAGCAAGAAAGAAAGAAAGAAAGAAAGAAAGAAAGAAAGAAAGAAAGAAAGAAAGCAAGACAGCAAGAAAGAAAGCAAGACAGCAAGAAAGAAAGAAAGAAAGAAAGAAAGAAAGAAAGAAAGAAAGAAAGAAAGAAAGAAAGAAAGAAAGAAAGAAAGAAAGAAAGAAAGAAAGAAAGAAAGAAAGAAAGAAAGAAAGAAAGAAAGAAAGAAAGAAAGAAAGAAAGAAAGAAAGAAAGAAAGAAAAAGAAAGAAAGAAAGGAAGGAAGGAAGGAAGGAAGGAAGGAAGGAAGGAAGGAAGGAAGGAAGGAAGGAAGGAAGGAAGGGUGUGACCCUGGG
rnacentral:lncRNA from 1 species